UACGUAGGGGCCGAGCGUUGUCCGGAUUUAUUGGGCGUAAAGAGCUCGUAGGUGGUUCGGUAAGUCGGAUGUGAAAUCUCCAGGCUCAACCUGGAGGGGUCAUUCGAUACUGCCGUGACUAGAGGUCGGUAGGGGAGUGUGGAAUUCCUGGUGGAGCGGUGAAAUGCGCAGAUAUCAGGAGGAACACCCGUAGCGAAGGCGGCACUCUGGGCCGAUACUGACACUGAGGAGCGAAAGCGUGGGGAGCGAACAGG
rnacentral:rRNA from 1 species